CCACCACUUUCAUCGAGUGAGCAUUCGUCUUCUGGUUACGGGGCCAUAGCUCAGCUGGGAGAGCGCGUGCUUUGCAAGCAUGAGGUCGUCGGUUCGAUCCCGUCUGGCUCCACCAGAUGGUUUGAUCGCCGAGAUCUUGCACCGUCGUCCGCGAAACAUCACUUCGCAUCCUGCUAGUCUGGAUAGACAGCAAGAUGCGUGUUUUCUGACAUCGUAAAGAGGAGAUCGAUCCGAGUUGGGUCGUGCAGCAGAUUGUUGCGCGAAUCCUUCAUUAUCUCCGGAUCAUUUUCGGCGCUCGCUUUCAGCCGUGAGGUUGAAUGCGAGUUGUAAAAUGAUCCUUUUAGCGAAGCUUGACCGCCUCGCUAUCGGAACGAUCUUACGAAGCAAGCUGGUCUUUCUAGUCAAUGUCCGGCUGCAGAUAGCGUUCGUCGAGGGCGCGUGCCGCAAGGCAAUUCUGCAGACAACAUUCUGCCGAGUGUGUGGACAUUGAUAAUGAGAGCAAUCAAGUGCCUUAAGGGUGUUCGGUGGAUGCCUUGGCGCUGAGAGGCGAUGAAGGACGUGCUACGCUGCGAUAAGCCGUGGGGAGCUGCGAAGAAGCUUUGAUCCGCGGAUUUCCGAAUGGG
rnacentral:misc_RNA from 1 species